GAUGAACGCUAGCGGGAGGCCUAACACAUGCAAGCCGAGCGGUAUUUGUCUUUCGGGACAGAGAGAGCGGCGUACGGGUGCGGAACACGUGUGCAACCUGCCUUUAUCUGGGGGAUAGCCUUUCGAAAGGAAGAUUAAUACCCCAUAAUAUAAUGAAUGGCAUCAUUUAUUAUUGAAAACUCCGGUGGAUAGAGAUGGGCACGCGCAAGAUUAGAUAGUUGGUGAGGUAACGGCUCACCAAGUGGAUGAUCUUUAGGGGGCCUGAGAGGGUGAACCCCAACACUGGUACUGAGACACGGACCAGACUCCUACGGGAGGCAGCAGUGAGGAAUAUUGGACAAUGGGUUAGCGCCUGAUCCAGCCAUCCCGCGUGAAGGACGACGGCCCUAUGGGUUGUAAACUUCUUUUGUACAGGGAUAAACCUACUCUCGUGAGAGUAGCUGAAGGUACUGUACGAAUAAGCACCGGCUAACUCCGUGCCAGCCGCCGCCGUAACAC
rnacentral:rRNA from 1 species